CACACACAUACACAACACAUCCAGACACACAGACAUGCACCCAUAAGACAUACAUACAAAGACACACAUACAUACACACAGACACAAGACACACAUACAUACAAAGACAAGACACACAUACACAUACACACAAGACACACACAUACAAAGACACAUACAAGACAUACAUACAAAGACACACACACAAACACAUUAUAUUUAAGUCACCCUCCUGUUUCCUAUCUUUAAG